ACAGCAGUAGCCACGGUAAUACGAAGGGUGCAAGCGUUACUCGGAAUUACUGGGCGUAAAGCGUGCGUAGGUGGUGGUUUAAGUCCGUUGUGAAAGCCCUGGGCUCAACCUGGGAAUUGCAGUGGAUACUGGGUCACUAGAGUGUGGUAGAGGAUAGUGGAAUUUCCGGUGUAGCAGUGAAAUGCGUAGAGAUCGGAAGGAACAUCUGUGGCGAAGGCGACUAUCUGGGCCAACACUGACACUGAGGCACGAAAGCGUGGGGAGCAAACAGGAUUAGAUACCCCUGUAGUCCCUGUCUCUUAUAC
rnacentral:rRNA from 1 species